rnacentral:tRNA from 1 species
GCCCCGGUGGCGGAACAGGCAGACGCGCACGGUUGAGGGCUGUGUCCUUUCGGGGGUGGAGGUUCAAAUCCUCUCCGGGGCA